AUUUCACUCAUAGAUGGCUUCAGUUGAAUUUUUAGAUUUGCUGGCGUAGCAGAGAAUGUAGAUUAUUCUAGAAACAACAUUGUAGAUUUCAAUUCGAAUUAAAAUACAAAGUUUACCUUUGGCCUCGCGUAGUACGCGUUUCUCAUUCUCUCUUUCUGCGGCAGCUGUUUUCAGGCGCACACCUAAAGCUCCGGUAACAAGGCGACGUGCGAGUGCUGCACACGUCUCGGGCCUUUGACGAUAUGGUUGCAGGGAUGCAGCACAUUUCUUAGCCUUUAAGCGAGAUUCUAUUGUAGCUUCCGCUAAUGGCUUAAGUACUACGAAUGGAUGGCCCAUGGUUAAAACUUCAGCAGCUAUUUAAAACAAAGAUAUUCAUAAAUAUUUACAACGUUUUAUGCUUUCCUGGAUUGACCUAACAAACUCACCAAUUCGGGAACUGCUGAACACAGCCAAGGCAUGGGUAUCAUCCACCCAUUUAAUAUCAAAACCAGAUUCCUUGUAUUGGGAAAAAACCAUAAGAAGGUCAUGAUUCUUAAAUUCGACAGGGAAAUUGGAUACUUCAAGUACGUGUGGGAAUUCCUCAUCGUUGAGUAUAGACUGCUUUGUAAGAUAUGCCUAUAUGUCAAAAUAAAAUUUAGUUAUUAAUUAAAUAUAUACUCCAGACAAAUAUCUACACUAUAAU